GAAGGGAGGAGUCAGACAAGAAAGUACAGCUUGCAUAUACAAGCUUUGGUUUUUGCCAGUAAAUUAAAUGCCAACCUGUACUUGAGCACGAAGCCCACGCUCAAACCUGCCAGCCCAGCUUUAAGCUUCAUGAAGUCCAGAAUUUCUUGAAAGCUAUAUGGGGAAGAGCCAACUGUUGUGUCCUUACGUGCAGUUCAUAUGAUUAACGCUUCCAGAUGUGAUCCAGCAAGAAGAAUCUGCAACCAAGCAUGGUUUCAGAACAUGUCAGCCUCCACUGUCAUAAUUUUGGAUAUACAAAUAUAUUUCCAUAUUAUUUGUUAGUGUGUUCCACAUUGUUGCAUGUAGGAUGCAGUCAACAUAU
rnacentral:lncRNA from 1 species